rnacentral:rRNA from 1 species
GGAAAGAUGAAUCAAAGAAGGUAAUAAUCCUGUAGUCGAAAAUGUUGUCUCUCUUGAGUGGAUCCUGAGUACGACGGAGCACGUGAAAUUCCGUCGGAAUCUGGGAGGACCAUCUCCUAAGGCUAAAUACUCUCUAGUGACCGAUAGUGAACCAGUACCGUGAGGGAAAGGUGAAAAGCACCCCGGAAGGGGAGUGAAAUAGAACCUGAAACCGUGUGCUUACAAGUAGUCAGAGCCCGUUAAUGGGUGAUGGCGUGCCUUUUGUAGAAUGAACCGGCGAGUUACGAUUUGAUGCAAGGUUAAGCAGUAAAUGUGGAGCCGUAGCGAAAGCGAGUCUGAAUAGGGCGUUUAGUAUUUGGUCGUAGACCCGAAACCAGGUGAUCUACCCUUGGUCAGGUUGAAGUUCAGGUAACACUGAAUGGAGGACCGAACCGACUUACGUUGAAAAGUGAGCGGAUGAACUGAGGGUAGCGGAGAAAUUCCAAUCGAACCUGGAGAUAGCUGGUUCUCUCCGAAAUAGCUUUAGGGCUAGCCUCAAGUGAUGAUUAUUGGAGGUAGAGCACUGUUUGGACGAGGGGCCCCUCUCGGGUUACCGAAUUCAGACAAACUCCGAAUGCCAAUUAAUUUAACUUGGGAGUCAGAACAUGGGUGAUAAGGUCCGUGUUCGAAAGGGAAACAGCCCAGACCACCAGCUAAGGUCCCAAAAUAUAUGUUAAGUGGAAAAGGAUGUGGCGUUGCCCAGACAACUAGGAUGUUGGCUUAGAAGCAGCCAUCAUUUAAAGAGUGCGUAAUAGCUCACUAGUCGAGUGACACUGCGCCGAAAAUGUACCGGGGCUAAACAUAUUACCGAAGCUGUGGAUUGUCCUUUGGACAAUGGUAGGAGAGCGUUCUAAGGGCGUUGAAGCAUGAUCGUAAGGACAUGUGGAGCGCUUAGAAGUGAGAAUGCCGGUGUGAGUAGCGAAAGACGGGUGAGAAUCCCGUCCACCGAUUGACUAAGGUUUCCAGAGGAAGGCUCGUCCGCUCUGGGUUAGUCGGGUCCUAAGCUGAGGCCGACAGGCGUAGGCGAUGGAUAACAGGUUGAUAUUCCUGUACCACCUAUAAUCGUUUUAAUCGAUGGGGGGACGCAGUAGGAUAGGCGAAGCGUGCGAUUGGAUUGCACGUCUAAGCAGUAAGGCUGAGUAUUAGGCAAAUCCGGUACUCGUUAAGGCUGAGC